rnacentral:rRNA from 1 species
UACGGAGGGUGCGAGCGUUAAUCGGAAUUACUGGGCGUAAAGCGCACGCAGGCGGUUUGUUAAGCUAUGAUGUGAAAGCCCCGGGCUCAACCUGGGAUGGUCAUUUAGAACUGGCAGACUAGAGUCUUGGAGANGGGAGUGGAAUUCCAGGUGUAGCGGUGAAAUGCGUAGAUANCAGGAGGAACAUCAGUGGCGAAGGCGANUCCCUGGCCAAAGACUGACGCUCNUGUGCGAAAGUGUGGGUAGCNAACAUU